rnacentral:rRNA from 1 species
AUGGAAUACCUGGUGUAAGCCGGUAGGGCGAAUGGUAGGCAAAUCCGCCGUUCAUGCAGCCUGAGAGGUGAUGCGUACCCGUUGAGGGGAAUUCAGUGAUCCUAUGCUGCCGAGAAAAGCCUCUAGUGAGUUGGUACACGGCCCGUACCCCAAACCGACACAGGUGGUCAGGUAGAGAAUACCGAGGCGAUCGAGAGAACUGUGGUUAAGGAACUCGGCAAAAUGCCCCCGUAACUUCGGGAGAAGGGGGACCACGCUCGGUGACCGGACUUGCUCCGUGAGCUGGGGGUGGUCGCAGAGACCAGAGAGAAGCGACUGUUUACUAAAAACACAGGUCCGUGCGAAGUCGUAAGACGAUGUAUACGGACUGACGCCUGCCCGGUGCUGGAAGGUUAAGAGGACCGGUUAGUCACUUCGGUGGCGAAGCUGAGAAUUUAAGCCCCAGUAAACGGCGGUGGUAACUAUAACCAUCCUAAGGUAGCGAAAUUCCUUGUCGGGUAAGUUCCGACCUGCACGAAUGGCGUAACGACUUCUCUGCUGUCUCGACCACAGACUCGGCGAAAUUGCAUUACGAGUAAAGAUGCUCGUUACGCGCGGCAGGACGAAAAGACCCCGGGACCUUCACUAUAGCUUGGUAUUGGUGUUCGGUUCGGUUUGUGUAGGAUAGGUGGGAGACUGUGAAGCUCAUACGCCAGUAUGGGUGGAGUCGUUGUUGAAAUACCACUCUGAUCGUAUUGGACCUCUAACCUCGGACCAUGAUCUGGUUCAGGGACAGUGCCUGGUGGGUAGUUUAACUGGGGCGGUUGCCUCCCAAAAUGUAACGGAGGCGCCCAAAGGUUCCCUCAGCCUGGUUGGCAAUCAGGUGUCGAGUGCAAGUGCACAAGGGAGCUUGACUGUGAGACUGACAGGUCGAGCAGGGACGAAAGUCGGGACUAGUGAUCCGGCACCGGCAUGUGGAAGCGGUGUCGCUCAACGGAUAAAAGGUACCCCGGGGAUAACAGGCUGAUCUUCCCCAAGAGUCCAUAUCGACGGGAUGGUUUGGCACCUCGAUGUCGGCUCGUCGCAUCCUGGGGCUGGAGUAGGUCCCAAGGGUUGGGCUGUUCGCCCAUUAAAGCGGCACGCGAGCUGGGUUUAGAACGUCGUGAGACAGUUCGGUCUCUAUCCGCCGCGCGCGUUAGAAACUUGAGGAAGGCUGUCCCUAGUACGAGAGGACCGGGACGGACGAACCUCUGGUGUGCCAGUUGUCCCGCCAGGGGCAUGGCUGGUUGGCUACGUUCGGAAGGGAUAACCGCUGAAAGCAUCUAAGCGGGAAGCCUGUUCCAAGAUGAGGUUUCUCACCCCCUCGAGGGGGUAAGGCCCCCGGCAGACCACCGGGUUGAUAGGCCGGAACUGGAAGCCCAGCAAUGGGUGGAGGUGACCGGUACUAAUAGGCCGAGGACUUACCACG